rnacentral:lncRNA from 1 species
AGCAGAAAGGAGACCAGGGAAAGCCCAGAUUGCAGCAGACUAGGUUGGAGAGGCAGAAAUGACUAUUUACCAUCUUGAGGAGAUGGACAAGGAAGCAAAAAUAAAUGUCAUAUAAAAUCAAGUGGUUAAACAUUCAGAAUCUGACCUCAUCCUGCCUUUCCUUGUGUUCUUCCUCUGUAUUAGCACCUGGUUGUUUACCCAGAAUGCCUACCUCUUUUCUCUAGGCCUAGCCACAUAUUAAAUGUCUCCUCUAUGGUCCCUGUAGGCAAUGUCAUGGGUACCUCAGAUUGGCCAUGGCCAGAACCAACUCCUCAGCAUCCUCUGCACACUCACUCUUCCUCGGAGCUUCCUGUCUCAGAGGUGGACACCUAUAACCUCUAUAUCCAACACCCAAGCCAGGAACCUGGGCAUUGCCCAGGACUCUGUCCUCUGUCCCAAUCCCCAGGUCCAGUCUACUUCCAAGGGCCUUAAAUUCUACCUCCCAAGCGGUUCCAGACCUGGCUGCUUCUUUUCACACCUUCUGACCUUUCCCGUAGUCAGGCCUUCAUCUGGGGCCUGGGUUGGGGUGAUUUCUUUGCAGAGCAGCAGAGUAUUCUUCCUAUAAUGCAUGGUGGCUCAUUCUUCUCUUCUGCUUAAAAUCUCUCUCAUGGCUACCCAUUGCUCUCUGACUUAAAUCCAGACUCUGGAAACAGAGCAAAUGAGGCUUUCCAUAAACA